UUGCCUUAAACUAAUGAGUAAGGAAAACAAAGCGAGGGGUGGGAGCCGCUCGCAGCAUCCCUAAGAGGUGCAUGAAUUUAUGGAGGGGUUUAUAGGCUGGCCAAGUGUUGACGCUGCUUACUUUGCAGAACUCACUUGUGCGGGCCUCCCAACCC